UGAAGAGCUGGCCAAAGGCAGAGCA
rnacentral:piRNA from 1 species